UACGUAGGUGGCAAGCGUUGUCCGGAAUUAUUGGGCGUAAAGCGCGCGCAGGCGGUCCUUUAAGUCUGAUGUGAAAGCCCACGGCUCAACCGUGGAGGGUCAUUGGAAACUGGGGGACUUGAGUGCAGAAGAGGAAAGCGGAAUUCCACGUGUAGCGGUGAAAUGCGUAGAGAUGUGGAGGAACACCAGUGGCGAAGGCGGCUUUCUGGUCUGUAAAUGACGCUGAGGCGCGAAAGCGUGGGGAGCAAACAGG
rnacentral:rRNA from 1 species